AGGGGAGUAGCUCAAUUGGUAGAGCGGCGGUCUCCAAAACCGUAGGUUGCGAGUUCGAUUCUUGUCUCCCCUGCCA
rnacentral:tRNA from 12 species